AGUGAUAAACAAAUAAAACUGAUUAACAAAAUACUAAUGUUGUUAUAGUAAUUAAAUAAACUAUUUCUAUGGCAAUUAACCAAUAAUUUGUUUGUUGCUAAUCGCAACUCAAUGUCGGUAAAUAAGAUUCUAUCUUUGCCGGUAAAGUUAGUCUGUUAUUCAUUGACUACGUCGAUUGCCACAGUACUCCUCCCCGAGCAACGUCCUACGUUGCGAAUUGGACCUUCUUCCUUGGACCAGUAUAUGUUCUGAGUGGCUCGUGAGUAGUAGAGGAAAACAUGGCAUCUGUUUGUUCCCUAUUUGGUUCUCUGGGAAGGAAUGCUGGUUUCAGCCGUUCGACAGUGACAUUGACAUUUUUACCUGCAAUUUCUAAAGUAAAACAUUAUUAUUUAUCUUAUUUACAACUCGGAAUGGACCGGAGUAUGGUGGUUGUACACUACGUGUUUUUCUGACUGCAUCAUCGCGUAACCAAACGUGAGUGCAAUCAAAAAGAUUUUUAUGACAGAAAGGUGUUUUUUUGUGUGAUGUGCUACCGGUUGAGAUUUAAUUUCUCUCAUGUGGAUCCUGUGUUUUUUUAAAAAGAUUUCUGGAUCAGAAGAAAGAUCUUCUUCGAUGAAAAAUUCUCCAGGAAUGCGUAAUGUUGUUCCGUAAAGCAUUUCUGCCGAUGAUGCUUUUAAAUCUUCUUUAUAGCAGGAUACCAUUUGAGGCUGGAUGAUACGCAGAAGUCCUUAUCCGCUCGCAACCAAUAAGGUUGGUGAGAGCUUUGAAGAGAGUUGCUUCAAAUUGAGGUCCUUGAUCCGUUACGAUAGUAUUCGGUGAUCCGUAUCUUGCUAUCCAAUGAGUGAAGAAAGCAGUUGCAACAUUCUCUGUUAAAAUUUCUUUAAGAGGAAUAGUUUUUGGCCAUCUCGAAAAUCUAUCGAUCAUGGUCAGGCAGUAUCGAUAAUUCUGACACGGCAAUAACGGACCAACUAAAUCUAAAUGUAUAUGUUGGAACCGAUGAUCCGGAAUGGCUAUCUUUUCUGGGAUAUUUUUCGCAUGCUUCUGUAUUUUGGCACAUUGACACGGUUGAUCUUCCACUAGGAUGGAAUAGAUUAUGGACUACGUCAAAAAUUUUCCUCCUUAAAAGUUGUGGAAUGUACGGACGUAUAUUUUCAGUCGAACAAUCACAAAGGAUUGGAGUUGUUGUACCGAAAUAUGCUGGAUUUCUGUAGAAAAUUGGGCAAUAAAAUCAAGUUUGCGAAUUUGUCGAGGUGACGCUUUGUCCAAUUUUUGUCUGAAGGCAUAAACUAGAGGUUUAUGGUCUGUUUGAAUCAAUAGCUGGCGUCCCUCAAUUAAAUAUCUGAAAUGUUUAAUUGCUGAAAAAAUGCUGAGCAAUUCUCUAUCAGAAGCGCCAAUGGCAAUCUGAAGCAGUCUGAAGCAUCACAUGUAAGAAUUAAUGGAACUGUUGGAGCAGGAUGGGAUAAUAAUGUUGCUUUUAAAAGUUCCUCUUUACAACAAUUAAAGGCUUUAAUAGCAUUCUCUGUCCAAUAAAUUGGUCUUUUAUCGUUCUUCUUGCUAUCUUUAAGAUAGUCUGUAAGAAUUGCUUGCUGUGAAGCAGCGUUUUUCAAACAUCGACGUUUGAUUCCUUGUUUGGACACAAGAUAUCCAAGGAAAGAAAUCUCCUUUUUUUCGAAAAAACAUUUGGAAACAUUGACAGUUAAUCCAAACUGUUUUAAACGUAAAAAGAUACGCAAAUGUUUGUGAUGUUCUUCAACAUUUGAUGAUGCAACUAAUAUACCAUCAAGAUAACAAAAGCAGAAAUCAAGUCCUGUUAAUAUUAUAUUCAUGAGCCGUUGGAAUGUUUGAGCUGCAUUUCGUAACCGGAAUGGCAUAACCAAAAAUUCGAAUAAAUCGAAAGGAGUAGUGACAGCUGUCUUAGGAAUAUCUUCCUUGGCUACAGGAACUUGAUAGUAUGCCUUUACCAAAUCUAUUUUUGAGAAUAUGGUCUUACCGUGGAGAUCAGAUGUGAAGUCUUGAAUGUGCGGCAGAGGAUAUCUAUCUGGAAGUGUCACAGCAUUCAAACCUCUAUAAUCACCUCACAAUCUCCAUGUGUCCUGUCCAUUUUUGGGAAUCAUAUGAAUCGGUGCUGCCCAUGGACUGCUUGAAGGACGACAGAUUCCUUGUUCCAUCAUGUGCUUAAAUUCAUUCUUGGCAAACUUCAACUUCUCUGGCGAUAAACAACGAGGUGUAGUUGCGACAGGAGAUCCUUUUGUGACGAUGUGGUGUUCCACUUGAUGAAUUUUACUUGCUGUAAUUGGAGCAAAACAAGUUAAUUCUGGGAAAUCUGCGAAGAUUUUGUGGAAAAAAUUUCAUAAUGGCUCAAAAAAUCUGCACCAAUUAUAGGUCGCUGGAUAUUUGCAAUGCAGAAUUUCCACUUAAGAUCUCUGCGUAGACCAAGAUCAAGAGCUACAGUUUUUGUACCGUAGAAACAAGAGAAAUGUCAGCCCCAGUAUCAAUUAGAAAGUUCAAACCUGAGGUUUUAUCGAAGACAAUGAGACGAUUGUUGGGUGAACCGUUGAUUGUCGCCUCUUCCUUCAACGUGUUUCUAGAUUUCGAUUUGUCGCGAAAACGAUUUAUUUCCAAUGCAGCUAUUCUGCGCUCAAGAUCGACAAGAUUGCCUGAUUUAGAACUUGAUUCAGUGGACGAAAUAAUCGCGGCGACUUGGAGUGAUCCUGUGUCCCGAUCAACAAUUUUAUCUGCUAAUUCGGCUAAUUCGGCUAACGGAUACUCCUCGACAACAGUUAAAGUUGCUUGUAUGCGAUACGGUAAACGUUGCAGCCAUAUAAUGCAGAACAUCGUCUGAAAUAGCUCCUCCAGCUAACUGUCUGAUCUCGCGAAGUAAAUCUGACGGUUUUUUGUCAUUAAGUUCAAUUCUCGCUAAAACUUGACGCAAUCUUUUUUCUUCCGAGUCCGUAAAGCAGUUAAUUAGUGCGUUUUUCAAAUGAUUGUAUUUAUCUAAUUCAGGCGGUCGUUCAAUAAUUUCAGCUACCGCGACUAACGCUUGUUCGUCAAAAUGUCGAAUUACGGUACUGAAUUUUAUUUCAUCUAAGCGGAUACGGUAUAUUAAAAAUUCACUCUCUAAAUUCACUCUGGGCAAACCAUAACUUUGGUUGUUUAUGCCAAAAGAUCGGUAAUUUCAAUAACCGGAACUCAUUCGCGUGAAUCUCAAUAGACUCACCUGAAUUUGAUGGACCGCUAUUCAGCAUCGUUGUUCUUUCCGAUAUAUUUCGUGUUCCCGAUGCUUCCUCUGGAGUCGUUGAUGCUUUCGGCGAUGAAGGAGGUGAACGGUUAAUAGGCAUCUUUGGAUUAUGUCGUUCACAAUUUUAAUCUCCCGCGACUCUUUAAGUCAAUUAGAUUUUUCAAAUCACGUCGGGGUCACCAAUUAUGUAGCGGUUGAAAUGAGAACUACUAUUUAAAUAUAGAAAAUAUCGAAUUGUGGUUUUAGGUAACUAUAUUUUGAUUCGAUGUUAACGAUUCAAUGGCCUAGUUUACACCGAUUGUUUAGUACGCGUACCAAGUACUAAAUCUGCUUCUUCGAUAGGUAUAAAUUGUUUAGUGUAACAUCUACACCAAUCAAAGAAGCAGAUUUAAUACUUGGUACGCGUACUAAACAAUCGGUGUAAACUAAGCCAAUGUACAGAUGAAGAAUGAGUGAUAAACAAAUAAAACUAAUUAACAAAAUACUAAUGUUGUUAUAAUAAACUAUUAAAUAAACUAUUUCUAUGGCAAUUAAUUAAUCAAUAAUUUGUUUGUUGCUAAUCGCAACUUAAUGUCGGUAAAUAAGAUUCUAUCUUUGCCGGUAAAGUUAGUCUGUUAUUCAUUGACUACGUCGAUUGCCACAGUAGUUAGGUUUGUGUUGGUGGUGCUAUAGGAGAUAGCCGCGCUUACCAAAUAACCUUAGAGCAGUGAUGCAA